UCUCCUACUCAGAUAUUUAUUCCUGGAUAAUGGUACCCCAAUACCCAGCUCCCUCGCCCUGCAGCUGGCUGAGGCGCUCCUGCCACUCUUUGACCGCGAUGAUAGCCAGGUGCAGCUGAGCUCCAUGAUGGUCUUUCAAGAAAUGCUGGAGUUAUUAACGGAAGAUGGAAAACAUGCCCUGAAGUCACCCGUGCACCACAGCCUGCUGCCACUCUACUUCCACUGCCAUGAUGAGAAUCAGAUUGUUGCUGAGUGUUCUCGGGAAACGCUGCUUUGUGCAGCCAAGUUCCUGAAGAGGAGGGAUAUAAAAAAGCUGGUGAAGGA